rnacentral:lncRNA from 1 species
CGAGUUUCCACACUGAUUAUUCUAGAUUUGUCAGCAACCUUUGUUAACAUGAACCAUUAAGUUUUGUUGAUUCAUUUGCAGAUACUGGCAAGGAUGGCCAAAUAUCAGUGUAGUGACUCUGGUCUCUCCUCCAUAGGAGGUCUCAGAGGGUGAUGUUGGACAAUUGCUCAUCUGCCCAGAGGAUUCUCAUGAAUUACUGCAGUAUAAGUGGCUGAAGGGAAGGGGCAGAUCCCGGAGCCACCAAUCCCCUCCAUGUUUCUGAUGGCCAUGCUCUGCCUACACCACAGCUGCCAUAACUGCUGUGAUCACAAGGGCAAGGCCUGCCUUUCACGGUGAUGUUUCAGCAGCAUGAAAACCACUUACCAUCCCUGAAAAAAAGAAAAAGCUGCAAUGAACUGAUUGGAAUUUCAUUUUGAGGUCAUCUCUGGUCUCAAUUGUCUUCCCUGAUACAUGUAUAUUCAAUAACCUUGUGAUGUUAGUGACAUAAUCCAAUCAGUAUUUCAAAUUUUCCAGUGCAGUCUCUGCUUGUCAUUUGGAUAUAUACAUGCAGCCACCAACAGGAAAAAAUAUUUUUUCCAGAUUACCAAAAUGGGUAUGGUAAAAUUGGAACGCAGGCUGGAUCAGGACAGAAGCUGGUGAAACCACUGACAAACAUGAAAAUGUCUGCAGAUAGAUCAGCCUCAGACUCAUAGUUGAUGCAGAUGAUAGAUACAAAUUCUUACUUAUGCUGGAUAUAAGGAAAAUAUUAUUUUACUCUGGGAGAGUGAUACAGUCCCCCAAAAGCUGUGGAGACCACAUUGCUGAAGAUAGUUUGGAGUUUCGUAUCCCUGGAGUUUUUCAAUUCUGAGAUAGCUCGAGCUACAGCUGACCUGAUCUACUGUUCCUUCCGACAUCUCCAUCAUUCUUUGAAAUCUACAUUAGACUGAACAUGGUUUUACUGCAGCACAUCUUGGCUAUGAUCCUAAAUCACACUUGUAGCUCUGCUUAUCAAGUAGCCAAUCCUUCCUAAUGCCAAUGACUGUAGAAGAAACUCAAGUCCCCAGGCAAUUCCUCAGAUGACUGCUUACAGCAGAAGACAAAGAAGAGGAUAAAAAGAAUUAAGUCAAGUUUUGAGAUACAGUACAGUAAGAGUCACCGGCAGGUGAGAUUACGAAGUUGUGGAACUGUUGUCUGCUAAUACAUACAACAAAAUACGAUAGUUAAAUCACCAACUUCAAAAUGAGUCAAGAACUCUGAAGUGCGGGUCAGACUGAAAAAGAUCAUCCUUCAUCUUCAUCAUCAAUGUUGUCUGGCAAUGAGGCACUGAACCUUCUUAUAAAUGAUGAAUUUUAAAGAAAGAAACUUUUAUUAUUGUUGCUGAGAAAAAGUGAAUAUAAUGUUGCAAAAUCAGUAAGAUUGAACUAAGAAAAUAAAAAGGAGUAGCACUGAUUUGUUCACUAAUUAUCAGAAGGAAAAAAGAUUUUCAUGCCUAUUUUACAUUAAGAUAGUAAGAGCCUGCUAAAACCUUCAGACAAAGCAC